CCGGAAAUGAACCAUACAACCCAUUAGAGAAGGUGAACGAUGCAAAAUUCCAGCUUUUAACUGAUAUCAUCAAUGGACCAGAUGUGGUCCACACAGUUUUUGGAUUACGAAAACUAGAGAACCGGUUUUUCGCCACCCUUGCAGAACCUGGUGAAUGGGUUCAAUCUAAUCACUUGGAAAUGAUCGCCCUCAUGAUGUGGCACAAGAAUGGAGAACAUAUGAGGAAAACUCGGGCAAUUGUUUUGGAUUCAUUACUCACGUACGAUCUCUCAUGGCGUGCAAAUGAAUUCAGUCGGUGUAAAAAAAAGGAGAGUUUCAAAUGGGGUGAACUGCUCUACGAAAUUGCAAAUGGUGAACGCAUUAACCGUCAACCUAUGCUCAAGUGGCUAAAGGACGUCGACG